UGGGGAAUAUUGGACAAUGGGCGAAAGCCUGAUCCAGCCAUGCCGCGUGUGUGAAGAAGGUCUUCGGUUUGUAAAGCACUUUAAGCUGGGAGGAAGGGCAGUAAGCGAAUACCUUGCUGUUUUGACGUUACCGACAGAAUAAGCACCGGCUAACUCUGUGCCAGCAGCCGCGGUAAUACAGAGGGUGCAAGCGUUAAUCGGAAUUACUGGGCGUAAAGCGCGCGUAGGUGGUUCGUUAAGUUGAAUGUGAAAGCCCCGGGCUCAACCUGGGAACUGCAUCCAAAACUGGCGAGCUAGAGUAGGGCAGAGGGUGGUGGAAUUUCCUGUGUAGCGGUGAAAUGCGGAGAUAUAGGAAGGAACACCAGUGGCGAAGGCGACCACCUGGGCUCAUACUGACACUGAGGUGCGAAAGCGUGGGGAGCAAACAGG
rnacentral:rRNA from 1 species